CCAGUCUAGUUAUUCCAGGGUUGGUAUUCAGGGAGAAAAUGUCCUUGUUCACUCUUAUGUUAUAGGUCCUGUGUAUGGAAUCUAUUUUUUCCACUGUUCUUUCAGGUGAACACAGACCAAGACACUGGGACCUACACAGAUUUACUGAAACCAAAUCUUUUGGAUUUUUAUAACAAAACUCUGAGAAAAAUGGAGGAAAAGUCUGAAUCCAACUAUGAAAGAGCUACAUUGAGCAUUGAGGGGAAGGGAAGGGGAGUGGUGGAGAGAUCGGAAGAAAGACGUCUGAAAAAGCAGAAGGAAAGGAAGAAACUAAAUGCGCUUCUGAAUGAGAGAGACCCACAUCCUAACCAAACUGAGACUCCUAAUGCUGGGGUGGGCUUCGUUGGGAGAAGUGCUGCUGGAAAUGCCAUCUUGAACACUUCUAAGUUUGAGGCUGGAAGGAGAAGUGUAAAGUCUACACAACAGUCGGCAAAGGUUGGGGGGAGGCAAGUCACUGUCGUGGACACACCCGGAUGGUGGAAAUUCUUUCCGGCCGAGUUCACUUCUCCCUUGGUGAUGUCAGAAAUCCUGAAGGGUGUUUUUCUUUGUUGUCUGUUUCCCAAUGCUGCCUCCUGAUGAUUCCUGUAGACACAGUGUUUACUGAGGAACAGAGGAAGGUGACACAGCACAACAUGAAGCUGCUAGGAGAGGGAGUCUGGAGACACACUAUAGUGGUCUUUACCUGGGGGCAUGUCUGGGAGACACAACUAUUGAGCAGCACAUUGAGAGUGAAGGGAAGGCGCUGCAUUGGCUUAUAGAGAAAUGUGGGAACAUGUAUCAUGUCUUUGACAGUAAGGGUAAAGACACAGACACUCAGGUCAAAGAGAUGCUGGAGAAGAUAGAGGAGAUGGUGGCAGGGAAACGUUUCUUUUGCAUGAGCAAUGAGAUCGAUAAACCAGUGGAGACAGGGAUCAUUCCACAGGCAGAUGAUGAAGCCACUGAGAAGAUUUCACAACUUCUCAAUCAGGAAUGGGAUCGGAGAAACUGGGAGAAUUUGGAACUAGCAAAGACAUCAACUCCACCAAUUCUAAAGGGGAAAAGGAGUAUGCCUGAACCUUAUAGACCUGACUGUGAGUAAUCACUUUUCUCUCUCUCUUUACCCCAGCAUGCUUUGUUCGAAGUUCUUCAUUGUUAUUGUUUUUCCUGAACAGUCAGUGGAGACAAGCCACCCCUGUAGAGCUCUGGACUGGGAGAGGGAGAAAUCACAAUGGAAGAUCCGAGGGAGGAUCAAGGUGUUAGCAGUAACAACCGUAACAGUUUAUUGUAAA